AGGGUUCGAUUCUGGCUCAGGAUGAACGCUAGCGGAGGCCUAACACAUGCAAGCCGAGCGGUAUGUUCUUCGGAAAUGAGAGAGCGGCGUACGGGUGCGGAACACGUGUGCAACCUGCCUUUAUCUGGGGGAUAGCCUUUCGAAAGGAAGAUUAAUACUCCAUAACAUAUUGAUUGGCAUCAAUUAAUAUUGAAAGCUCCGGCGGAUAGAGAUGGGCACGCGCAAGAUUAGCUAGUUGGUGAGGUAACGGCUCACCAAGGCGAUGAUCUUUAGGGGGCCUGAGAGGGUGAUCCCCCACACUGGUACUGAGACACGGACCAGACUCCUACGGGAGGCAGCAGUGAGGAAUAUUGGUCAAUGGGUGCAAGCCUGAACCAGCCAUCCCGCCGUGAAGGACGACUGCCCUAUGGGUUGUAAACUUCUUUUGUAUAGGGAUAAACCUACCCUCGUGAGGGUAGCUGAAGGUACUAUACGAAUAAGCACCGGCUAACUCCGUGCCAGCAGCGGC
rnacentral:rRNA from 1 species